GGGGGCAUAACUCAGCUAGGUAGAGUAUCAGUCCGAUAAACUGACUGUCAGAAGUUCGACUCUUCUUGCCCCUACCA
rnacentral:tRNA from 1 species